GGCCGCCGGUGGGCAUCUGGCUUCAGUCACUCAGAAGAGGAACAUGUAAUCCUCAAAACCUUCAUUAACCAAGUGAGCGGUGAAUACAAACGGACCUGGAUCGGAGGCUUUGACUCAGUGAAGGAGGAUGUUGGUGGUCUGAUGGGUC